UAAGACCUAAGCAUUAGCUGAACACGCUGACUGUACAUCUCAUACAACUGAAAUUUUUCUUCUUUCUCAGCACAUAUCAAGCGUAAAAGUCUUUGAACAUCCUUCAGACUUCAUCAAGUUGUACUGUUGUGCUGCUACAGUGAAAAACAAAAAACAAAACACCAUGACAUUGCAGCACAAACCCUAAAGACAGGCCACGACCGGAGCUGGAGCUGACAGCUUGAACGAUGUUUUUUACGAUCCUG